UAAAUCCUGAAAUGUUCGAUGGAUCUAUAAUUGUUCAACCUACAGAUUAAUUCCGGGAUUAUCGACAUAAUUAUGGAAGUGGAGCUUUGUAUCAGAAAGUUGACUGAAGUAAUUUGAGAUAAACCCACCUGCUAGAGUGCGGGUGUGAACAAAUAGAUUACCGGCAUUUUGGGAUUUUU
rnacentral:other from 1 species